ACAAGGUUCUCCAGCUCCACUUUGGGAAAUUCAUUGAUCCUGCCUGGGGACAGAACAAGACUUGAGUUGCUCAUGAGUAGAAACAUGGGUUUCUUGCUCAGAAGAGGGAAUGUCACAGCACUCAAAAGAUCCCAGGCUGCCACUUCCAGUUUAGGAAACCUCCAGUCACAAGAUGGUAACUGAGGCGAAGGGGACCAAUACCUAACAAGCAAGACUGACCCCUAAAUUGCCAAUGGAGCACCUAGCCUAAAGACUGAAGCCAAAUCAGCUAAAUUUUCAGAAUCAAAGAUUCUGGCUGAUGUGUAUCAAGGAAGCCACUUUUCAUGGCAGACCUGAAGUCCUGAAACAUCCAUGAUGUCACCUUUCUCUACUGAUCUGCCUACCAGUACACGGCGGCGCGCUAUUAGCUCUGUAAUGUUUUAGCUUAAUUCUCCCACAUGUGGGCUGCAAUUCCAGCCAAAACAAACUCAGCAGGAGAUUUCACAGCCACUGAAUUGCUCAAGGUGCUCCAGGCUCCAUGACAUGGGGAGAUCAGGUUGGGAUGCAAAAGUUAUGAACAAAAAGAUAAACAGAAUGAAAAGGCAUGGGGUGGUGGGAUUUAGGGUUUGACUGGUGUGCAAAGCUUUCAGUUUUCCAAUUGGUAAUUUGAUUCUCUGGUUUGCCUUGGAGAUUUGCAGUGUUUUUCUGGCAUAUGUGAUGGAAGAAAGCACCCUGUUCCAUUCCGGGUAGUGAACCAUGGAGACCUUCUCAUUAAAUUACAAAGAAGAAUUUUAGGAUAUGAGAUCAUGAAAAAGAAUAGAAUUUGAAAACACACACAAACACAUAACUAGGCCAGCACAGGAAGAAUUUGUGGUGAAGCCAUUUUUCCCAUUGCAGAUAACUCUCUAAUCCUUUGGAUCCCAGAGUCCUGCACACACACGUGCACGUGCACACACAUGCACAUGUGCACACACACACACACAGUGUGAAGAGAAGGGUCUACAGCUGUCACUAUAAAGCCAGGCUGCACCAUAGGUUGAACCAAGAAGGUCUAGUGACAUUCAGUUAGUGAUCCUUACCUCUCAGUAUAUGAUCUUGAAGCUCUUCAUUUGAGAUCAUUCUGUCUAGCUCUUUUCUCCCUAUCACCCUCAUAACAUAACCCUCACCCCCAGGCCUUCAGAAUUGAAAAAACAAUAAGUCUGAGUAAUCACACCAUGAGACUAUUUAUGAUUAUUAGGGGGAAAGGAGGUGGGGAUUAAAGUGCUGUGCCAAUUAAAAGCAACAAUUCUUGCUGCUUCUCCCAAAUUCUUCACAAAAGUCAUAUGGAUGAUGGGACAUUUCUGAGUUUACCCCAGCCAAACUCUGAGAUGGAAAAGUAUUUGUUUUGUAUGGGCAAAGCUAUUUGUUCUUUUUUUCUUCUUUCUCUCUCUCCACUGUGGGAAAACGAAUUUAUUUUCAGUCACCCCUGACAUCUGACCACUCAGCUGAUCACAAGGACACUGUGGUAAGCCACAACUCAACUUGAAAUUAUCUCUUAGGCACAGUUCCUGUACUUUGGAUGGCACCAUCUCUAGCUCUCAGCUUGGCUUUCCUCUAUGAAGGUUCCAUUUUCCCCUUUCUUUUCUCUACUCAGAGUGAGUGGUCUUGCGCUUAUCUUCCAACCGGGCUUGUCCUCAAAACAAACUAAGCAUGAAAAUGACACCAGUUUUCCUAGUCAAAGCCUCAAAAGUGGCCCAUUUAUAUAUGGUAUCUUUCUUCUAAAACAAAAGGAAAAAGAAAACGAGAUGAAAUCUUUGGAAUCCUGCAAAGUAGGUGGGGGAGCCAACUCUCUUGAUUAGUCUCAAGAUGAUUCAGCAGGGUUUAUACAUAUUCCUUCUGUUUGAAUCAUUUUGUUUUUUGUAGCUGUUUUACACCUCCAGGAUCCUGCCAUCUGCCCACUCUAAAGAAAGACAGUAAAGCACUCCAAAUACAAUGGCUGGGAGGAAAAAAUUGUGAUCAAACUCAAGAGAUCAACUUUUCUUCACCCUUCUGGCUACUACUAUUCUUCCUGGAGAAAAGACAAUGUGGUGUGGCCCAGAGGUUCUUACUGUGGUGGGCUCACCUCUCAAUAAACCAUUCCUCUUCUGCCCUGUCAUGCCAUCAGGCUAAUGAGAGAGAACUUGGUGUACAGAUCUGUCUGCCCUCUUGGCUGAGGAAAGAAGAGAAGGGAUGUAGGCAGUGCCCUUGACAGUUAUAUCCUACUCAGAUCUGGUGUGUGUCACUGAAAUAUAGGUCAGCUUUUGCUGGACAACUCACAACAGCCUAGAAGCAUGUGGACCCCAGGCCAGGCCCAGUUCCUCCUGCUCACCCCAUACUCUCUUCCUGCCCAGUACAAGUUAACAAGCCCAACAAGCAUUGAGAGAGGCCUGCAGGACAGAAAAAAGCAGUCUUUCCAUUUUGCACACAAAUGUAAGGGAGCUCUAAAGUUAACAAAGGCUUCAUCAGUCCUGGGGUUGGUCCAAUGUGCGGGCUGAAGUUCAGCUGGCCUGACCAAAGGCAACUGCUAGCUAUUUGCACUUUCCGCAGGGACUGCUCCUCAACUCCUGAUUUAGAGAGUGGAGUGGACGGGUAAUGUGCAUGUAGUCACUGAGGACGAUUGGAGAAACAAAAUGAUUUUCAAUUACCAGGUGGUUCAGGUGGAGGCAGUGAGCAUAGAAAGUUUUCUUUCUGACAACAAAAUGAAGCGACAGCUGAAGAGCUUCUGGCCUUGAAGAGAGUUUAUCACUUUAAAGGGAUAUUGGCAAGUGCUUAGGGCUGAACACUAAGGUUUGGUUACUUCCCUUUCCCUCACAGUUCAUAGAGAGAUAAAGGUAUUAUAUGAAUUGGAUUUUUUCUUGUGAGUUAAAAAAACUGAUGCCCCUGAUUUGGGGUAACAAGCAUGGCCAAGUUAGUACUGAGCAGAGAGAAAGUACUAGUCUAAGGCUUUGCCUUUGCAGAAAUGCAAAAAAAAUGCUCACAAAAAAACAUGUUCUAUUGAUUGUCCAAGGGUACCAAACUAUGCAUUCUCAAAAUGGAACUGAAGACUUCCAGGUUUCAGUAUCUAAUUGUCUUCUGACUAAAACAAUGAAAACAAAGUGGAAGAGCAGAGGAUGUUGUUUCAGGUAGAGUUUAGAAAGCAAGCAGAACUUCAAGGAGAACCUGAUUGUCUUUACUUAGGCUGAAUGCCUUGGCAAUAAUCUUAUAAAUGAGUUUAUCAUUUUUUCCCCACCAUAUAAGUUAAACUUAGUGAGUAUCUGUUAUGUCCCUGGCACUGUGCAAAGCCUUUUUUUACACAUUAUAUAAUUUAGCCCCUCCUAAGAACCUUAGAGGGUAGGUGUUGUUACCACUAUUUUACUUAUGAGACCUAAAAGAUUUUGUUUGAGGAGUAAGUUAGAACUGGAAUUCAAACUCAGCUUUCCUGACUCCCUUUUAAGUUUCACAACCAUUCAGCUGCCUUUUAUAAGUAGCAUUUUAUUUUAUAUAUUCAUACAAUUGUAAAGUAUAAGAAAAGCUAUAUGCUAAAACAAAAGUUUCUUUAAAUUACCUACUUACAAUGUUUUGCCCACACUUGAAGGCUAUAAAAUGUAUCUGGAUUGGUCAUAAAAUAUUAUCCACCAUCUAAUGAAAUAGUACAUGUGUUCAUGAGUAAACUCUCUAUAAGAAAGACAUAUAACUGGAUUAAAGUAUGACCUAGUACUUAAAAUGCAUUAGAAUUUCCAAACAUAAAAUUAUCUGGGCUUUGUAAGGAGAAAAUAUUGGCUUCAAAACUCAGAAAGUUAGAGAUAUUAACAAAUAGAUGAUUCAACGCUAAAUGCACAUUGACAAGGCAAGAAGAGAGAAGUUACUUCAGUCAGCUUCUUAACUGUAGGGGUUGGAUGCCAACAUUUCUUCAAACAGAGGAAAAGGUCAUAGUGUUAUCUUUUCUCUCUUUUUUUGCCUUUUCUGUUUGAAAAAGGAAAGAUUGGAGGUUAAGAGAAAUAAGGUAAAAGAUUUAGGACUAUAGAGAUGAAAAAGGUACUGCACUGUUCCACAAGGAUCCCAUGGUCUAGGAAGAGAAGCAGACAUAGACCCAAAACAAGAUGAGCAAUGAAAGAACAGGAAUAUUUGAGGCCCAAAACAGAGUACAGAAGGAAGUGAUUACCCAGAGAGACAGUAAGAAGGAAAGGGCCAGGAAAACUCUCCAAAAGGAGGAAAACUUGAAUUUAAAAACUGACCAAACGACUAAUGGAAGAAAUGAAGUCUAUACAAAAUCACAGAACAUAAAAUGGGCUGACAUUUUGGGGCCUAAGAGGAAUCUGAUAUAUUGGAGGACAGCAGGAAGGAACGCAUGUAGAGAAAUGAACUAGUGAAGUCCUGAAGAGUUAGAGCUCACAUGUAGUGUGGAGCCACUGACCAGUUUUAAAAGUAGAUUUGAGUUUCCAAAAAUUACUCUUGCUGUCAAUCAUGAAUAGUUGGUAAUCUGAUUGACGAAAGGAAAGCUGGUUGUUUCAAAAAAGUCAUUGAAUAGACAAACUCUUGGCAUGAUUGAUGCUUUUAAGAGGCAGAAAUAAACAGCACAGGUAGAAAAAGUGACAUUGAAACAGACAAAGUAAAUAUUUUAAAAUUACAGGAGAGUCACAUGCACAAUAUUAGGACAAUAUAUUUGAAAUUUUCACCACAUUGAACAAUUUUUAGAAAGCAUAAAUAUGGAUAUUAACUGAAGAAAAAAUAUUGACAAUGAGAAGUAUGCUACAAAGUAAUACUAGCUCCAGAAGAUUUUGCAGACAAUUUUUUUCCAAAAAUUGUCUUUCCAAAGGAAAGAAAUAUUAAUCCUUAAUAUCACAGGGAAUAGAAAAGUGUUUUACAAGUAUUUACAGACCAUUGUAAUCCUGAUGCCAGAGCCAGGUGACAAUCAAUCUUACAUAUGGACAGAGAUGCAAAAAUACCAAAUAUUAGAAAGUUACUGUGU
rnacentral:lncRNA from 1 species